GACGCCGAAUAUCGACGUCAUAAACACCAAAGUUGAGCGUGUUUAUGACGUCGAAUAUCGACGUCAUAAACACCAAAGUUGAUCGUGUUUAUGACGUCGAAUAUCGACGUCAUAAACACCAAAGUUGAUCGUGUUUAUGACGUCGAAUAUCGACAUCAUAAACACCAAAGUUGAUCGUGUUUAUGACGUCGAAUAUCGACGUCAUAAACACCAAAGUUGAUCGUGUUUAUGACGUCGAAUAUCGACGUC